CUCCUUUGUCAUAAAGCCAGGUGUGGUGAUGACAGGCAAGCCGCUACAUCCCAGGCCCAGCAAGCAGACCUGGCACAUUGGCUACCACAUGAGGCCAACCUUGGGCACAGGGUAAGGGCUGGGCCUUUCUGGUCCUACAAAUCUGAACAAUCUGUAAGUUUAAUUUUGUCACCAUGGCAAGGCAAAUCAAAGGGACUCUGAGGAAGCCACACAGAAUGAAAGAACAGGGAACAACUUCGCUAACUAUGGGAUGACACCAUUUGGGAAUCCAAAGAUCAGCAUCUAAAAGGAAAAAAAAAAACAGGAAGAAUCCCAUGGAGAAACAGCAGAUUGGAAUCCAGAAAUUUGAGACCUCGGUGGCUGUGAGCUCUAAAAUCUCAGCUGGCGACACCAAGCUUAUUUCUUUGAUCUUCAACUCUUUGUUCCUGACUGAUAAACUUUUCCUCUACCCCUUCCAACCUGUAUUUGUCUCUGGAUCACCCAGUCCUACUUACAGAUAUGUUUUCCAAAAUAUUGAAAUUGGAAGCAAGCAUUAUAUCCAAAAUCUCAUCACAAGUUCAAUGACAAUGGUACAUGCAAGAGGUAGCAACCUCAAAGGAUUGAGAACCAUCUCCAAGGUGUGA
rnacentral:lncRNA from 1 species